rnacentral:rRNA from 1 species
CAGUCGCCGCGGGAAUACGAAGGGGGCUAGCGUUACUCGGAAUUACUGGGCGUAAAGGGCGCGUAGGCGGCACGAUUAGUCAGGCGUGAAAUUCCUGGGCUCAACCUGGGGACUGCGCUUGAUACGGUCGAGCUAGAGGAUGGAAGAGGGUUGUGGAAUUCCCAGUGUAGAGGUGAAAUGCGUAGAUAUCGGAAGGAACACCUGUGGCGAAAGCGGCUCACUGGACAAUAACUGACGCUGAUGCACGAGAGCUAGGGGAGCGAACAGGAUUAGAUACCCCUGUAGUCCCUGUCUCUUAUAC